UCCGGGCCGGCCCCGCCCCCAGUCGCCGGCAGCCUGGACGGCCGUGGGGGGAAGGGGGAGACAGGGGAUGCCGGGAGAACGCGAUUGCACCUGGACUGCAGAAUGACAGCUCCACAAGGGCAGGAAUUUGCCUGUUUGUCACUGCUGUGCUCCAGGCACCCAGUGAGUUCUCAGAGUCUGUCAAAGAUCAGGGUGUGCGGACAUGACCCAGCUCCCAGGAUCCACAUCAAACAGGCUGCUUAUGAAAACCAUUUUAAAUUAGAAAAGGUAAGCAUCAGUGCACACAGAUGGGAACAGAGGAACAGAGGGCCCAGCCCCGUGUGCAAAUUGAUCACCCCACAGCCCAGUCAGUGUGCAGUGGGGGAAAGGCACAGACGGUGGAGGCCAGGGUGCUGGUUCUUCUGGGCCUGGCUUCAGGCCUCGCAGGCUCAGAGGUCGGCCUUCCGGAAACUUGCUCUGUUCAAGGAGUUCCUGGGGGAAGAAUGAGGUGGGUUAACGUGGCCAGAGGGCUCCCAACUCCUGAGUGCUCAUCAGCCUCUCCUGUCCUUCUCUAAAGUCACAGAUUCUCUCUUGGAAUCUACCACCGAAGAUAGGAAUUGUGCCCAUUUUACAGACGUGGAAAUGGAGGCUCAGAAAGGCGAAGUCCCAUGUCUGGGAGAUGCCCCAGCCAGGAUGUGAAGUGGCUGCCCAGAGCCCGCCCGGCAUGCAUGCAUGUCCACAGAGUUGCACGUUUGUGCCAAGCUGUGAGCGUGCACACUGACGCGUGCGUGGGUUGACACGCGCCUGUAUGACAGCGCCCAUCUGUGCCUGCCUCUGCCCUCUCUCUGUGGUCGGGGGCAGGGGCCGGGCACCUGAGGCCUGCCGUGGGAGGCGCCAGCAGCUGGGGCAGGCGCUGGGUGAGCAGGGGCUGCAGAGCCUCCCGCAGGCGACAGUAGUUCCGCUCCAGCUCUCGGUGGUACUCCUUCUGGUCUGGCCCUAUCAGGGCCUUGUUCUUCCGCAGGGCGUCCUCACACCUGAGAGAGAGAUGGCAGGAGAUGACGCCCGGGAGAAAGCAAGCCUGGAGGUGGGGGGCAGUCUGGGGGUGGGGCCAGGAGCUACAGUGGGAGUCUGAUAGGCGGAGGGCACUUAGAGAGGCGGGAGCUCCAUAAUGGGCAUCAGGGAUACAGAGAGGCUGUAUGGGGUCAGGAAGGCAGAGCCGUGAUGGGGGUGGUGGGGGGCGCGGGGGGCAGGCGUACUUCUUGCAGAAGUCCUUGAAACAGAGCCGCAGCUUGUUAUGAUGCCUGAAGAGUUUGGGGUCUUCCGGGAUCUCCGCCAAGAACACCUGGGCCACCUCCAGGGGCCCCUGCAGGGGGCAGAGGGGCUCAUGAGGGUGUCUGCACGGCCCCUGGGGUGCUUCGGGCAGCCUGCAGGCCCCACUGGCUGUACCUGGUUCACAGUGGGCCCCACAGAGCCCUGAAGCACCAUCUGUAGCAUCUUGGCGUCGGGCGGGUCCUGCUCGGUGGCGAAGGCCAGCUCCCGUGUCUUCUUCUGCAUGUCUUCGAUGGCCACCUCCACGGGUGUCAGCACUGUCUGUGGGGGGAGGGGAAUGGCAGGCACUGGCUGGGGCCUGAAGAGGUCCUGACCCAAGACGGCCCCGGGCAGCCUGGACCCCUGCUGGGGGCGGAGAGGGGUUCCCAGAGGCUGUGAAAUGAACAGUGUGUGGGGGGACUUCUGCCGGCCUGGAUCUGGCAGGGUGGGGGCGGGGGGGGGGGGUGGUCUGGUCUCAGCUGCCUGUGUCUGGCUCUGAGGACUCGGGGUGGGUGGUGGGCCAGUCUCAGGCUGGCUGGGUCUGGAAGCAGAGGUUGGAGUCUGACUGGUGUCCAGGCAUAGGAGUUUAGGGUCCUCUCACCUCCCCGACCUGGGUCUGGGGGUACUGGGCCUCCCUUGACCUUGGGUCGCGGCACCUGCCCUCCCUGGGGCCCCGCCCACCUCCUCGCGGUGGCACACGCGGAUCCGGGUCUUGAUGUAGGGGAAGGCGUGGUCUGUGCUGAGCAGAGUCUUGCGCUUGUGCUGCUCAGGCAGGUCCCCAUGCGCGCGCCCGUCAGGCGUGAAGGGCGUGCAGAACAGGAAGGUGCGCAGCCCGUAGUUGCGGUCGAAGUAAGUCACCCGGUCCUUGAGCUCGUAGGUGUCGAAGUGCGGUUCCACGUAAGUGAUCUGGAUGUAAGCCUGGGACGCAGGGCUCAGGAAUGAGGCUCCCACAGCCCCAGUACACACACAUCCUCCCUGCAGGACCCCAUCCCUGGAGAAAGGGGAUUUGGAUCUCUUUGGGUCUGGGAGCUUGAAAUCUGGGGGGUCCCGCAUCUCACCUCUGGAGGUUUGAGGCUCUCCCAAGGAAAAGGAUUUGGGGUCCCCAAGGGAGGUACGCUCUGAAGUGUGCCUCCCUGGAUAUGGGAGACCCUGGGAUGGUCAGGAGUCCUCACCUUCUGUGGGUCAAGCUUGGUCUUGUCCACGGGGUUCGAAUCUUUGACAAUCUCGACCACGUCCUCCCCAAACCUCUCCGUGUAGAACUCCUGGGGACACGGGGCUGACUUGGGGCCACAGAGGAGCAGCCCCCACUCCGCCCAGGGCAGCCCAAUGCCCGUCUACCCCCUACCGCUGGGACGUGCCUCCAGCCGGUGUGAAAUCUCAGCCAGCUUCGUGAUGGACGGCUCUUUAUACACAAACUCCUGCUCGUCCAGGUCGCCGAAGCGGGCACCAUAGAAGCCCACACGGAAAUACGUCCCGAACACACGCUGCGUCUGGAAGAAGGGGAGCUGUGGCCCAGGAGGCCCCUCUGGAGGUCCCCUUGCCCCACAUGCAGAAGAGAGAGAAAACGAAAACUCAGAGACACAACUCCCCAGGGCCAGGACCUGAACACCAGCCCUUCUGGCCUAGUACCCAAGACCUCCACCCCCAGCUGCCUCUUGGCAUGUGGUCACCACCGCUCCCGAAGGGCCCCUCACCCACAGCCGGUGCCACCAUGAAGCUAGCAGAAACCCUGGGAAGUUUCCUGACCAACUGUGAGAGGUCUGCGUGUACCGUCUGGUUUAUUCCCCUGAGGCUUUUGUUUGAGCCUUUAACAAAAUGACAAUAGUGAAAACCCCACUAGGGGUCUGGCAGCCCAGAAAAUAAAUCUCACCGGAAAAACCUGACUCCGAAUCUGAGCGGGACUCCAGACCUCAUCACCAGUUCCCAGAAACGUGGGGACAGAGGAACAAGUAAAGCAACACCAUG